AGCUCUCUGCUAAAGGUUACUGAAGUAUAGAGGGUGAAUUCUGCCCAAUGGUUGUACAGUGAAACUGAGGACUAACGUCUAAAGCGAAACCCAACUGAAUGGCCGCGGUAACUCUGACCGUGAUAAUGUAGCACAAUAAAUAGCCAAUUAAUUGUUGGCGGGUAUGAAUGGAACCACGAGGGUCUUACUGUCUCAAGAGGAAAGCCGAUGAAAUUAUAGUUGUAGUGAAGAUACUACAUAAACAUUGUAAGACGAAAAGACCCUAUCGAGCUUUACUGGAUACCGAUAGCGUUAACCUAAAAUGAUCGAUACUAAGUAUCCUAAUUUUGAGUUAAUAAUUUUUGUUGGUAGGACAGUUUAGUUGGGGCGACUACCUUUGAAUAAGAAACGAAGGCGAGCUUAUGGUAUACAAAGCUAAUCUCAUUAGCCUGACAGUGAGGGGGACACCCCUAGCUGGCACAAGGACUAUGUCCUAUGUGGGCGAUAAUGACCCGAUAUGAUUAUCCAAAAUAAAUAUCGAAAGCGGAUAAAAGCUACCGUAGGGAUAACAGCGUAAUAUUGUCGGAGAGUUCUUAUCGAGGACAGUGUUUGCGACCUCGAUGUUGAAUUGCGGUGCCCUGGUGCUGUAGAAGGUACCUUAGGUUGGUCUGUUCGACCA
rnacentral:rRNA from 1 species